rnacentral:rRNA from 1 species
ACUCCUACGGGAGGCAGCAGUGGGGAAUCUUGGACAAUGGGCGCAAGCCUGAUCCAGCCAUGCCGCGUGAGUGAUGAAGGCCCUAGGGUCGUAAAGCUCUUUCGCCAGGGAUGAUAAUGACAGUACCUGGUAAAGAAACCCCGGCUAACUCCGUGCCAGCAGCCGCGGUAAUACGGAGGGGUUAGCGUUGUUCGGAAUUACUGGGGCGUAAAGCGCGCGUAGGCGACUGAAGUGGGGUGAAUCCGGGCGUCACCCGAACUGCUCCAAACUACCAGUCUUGAGUUCGAGAGAGGUGAGUGGAAUUCCGAGUGUAGAGGUGAAAUUCGUAGAUAUUCGGAGGAACACCAGUGGCGAAGGCGGCUCACUGGCUCGAUACUGACGCUGAGGUGCGAAAGUGUGGGGAGCAAACAGGAUUAGAUACCCUGGUAGGAUAGCG